UACGUAGGGGGCUAGCGUUGUCCGGAUUUAUUGGGCGUAAAGAGCGUGUAGGCGGCCAGGUAGGUCAGCUGUGAAACUCGAGGCUCAACCUCGAGACGCCGGUUGAAACCAUCUGGCUAGAGUCCGGAAGAGGAGAGUGGAAUUCCUGGUGUAGCGGUGAAAUGCGUAGAUAUUGGGAGGAACACCAGUGGCGAAGGCGGCUCACUGGACCGGUACUGACGCUGAUGCGCGAAAGCGUGGGGAGCGAUCCGG
rnacentral:rRNA from 1 species